AAGAUAGCCUAGUUAGUCCAAC
rnacentral:siRNA from 1 species